rnacentral:lncRNA from 1 species
GGUGAAUUGGUUUCUUUUAAAUUUAAACUAUCUUACUCAAGUCAAAUGGAUGGUUAGUAAGCUAAAGCAAAUCACAACACAAACAACACAAAGUAUAGUGGUUCGGUGCUCUCCUUAGCACCUACGACCACUCCCCAAGCGACCCCUUGGGAAUUCACUAUAAUCUCGCGGAUUACAGUUGGAUUGUUUUCCGGGCUCACAAUCCAAAAACCUUUGUUGGUUUUACGGGCUCACCAACGAACCUUUACACUUUGGUUUUCUGGGUUCACCAAAAACCUUUGUUGGUUUUACGGGCUCACCAACGAACCUUUACAAUUAGUUUUCCGGGUUCACCAAUCAACCUACUCCGUUGGUUUUCCGGGCUCACCAACCAACCUUUACAAGUUGUUUAACAAAUAAAGAAAGAAGAUUUAAACUCCUAAAUGAGCAAAUGAAACAAUAUAAACUACAAAGAAGAGUAUAGAAAAUAUUUAUCGCUUUGAAGUGGCUUCUCUCUUCUUUGUCAAGGAUGCUUCACUCUACAAGGGAGGAUGGA